UACAGGGGGGGCAAGCGUUGUUCGGAUUCAUUGGGCGUAAAGGGUGCGUAGGCGGCGCGGUAAGUCGGGUGUGAAAUCUCGGGGCUUAACUCCGAAACUGCAUUCGAUACUGCCGUGCUUGAGGACUGGAGAGGAGACUGGAAUUUACGGUGUAGCGGUGAAAUGCGUAGAUAUCGUAAGGAAGACCAGUGGCGAAGGCGGGUCUCUGGACAGUUCCUGACGCUGAGGCACGAAGGCCAGGGGAGCAAACGGG
rnacentral:rRNA from 1 species